UACGGGGGGGGGCAAGCGUUGUUCGGAAUUACUGGGCGUAAAGGGCUCGUAGGCGGCCAACUAAGUCAUACGUGAAAUCCCUCGGCUUAACCGGGGAACUGCGUCUGAUACUGGAUGGCUUGAGUUCGGGAGAGGGAUGCGGAAUUCCAGGUGUAGCGGUGAAAUGCGUAGAUAUCUGGAGGAACACCGGGUGGCGAAGGCGGCAUCCUGGACCGAUACUGACGCUGAGGAGCGAAAGCCAGGGGAGCAAACGGGG
rnacentral:rRNA from 1 species